rnacentral:rRNA from 1 species
GACGAACGCUGGCGGCGUGCCUAAUACAUGCAAGUCGAACGCAGUGGGGAUGGGUGAGUAACACGUGGGUAACCUCCCAUCAGAGGGGAUAACACUUGGAAACAGGUGCUAAACCGAUACUGAUGGAUGGACCCGCGGUGCAUUAGCUAGUUGGAGGGGUAACGGCCCACCAAGGCGAUGAUCAGUAGCCGGUCUGAGAGGAUGAACGGCCACAUUGGGACUGAGACACGGCCCAGACUCCUACGGGAGGCAGCAGUGGGGAAUCUUCCGCAAUGGACGAAAGUCUGACGGAGCAACGCCGCGUGUGUGAAGAAGGCCUUCGGGUUGUAAAGCACUUUCAGCGGGGAGGCGUUACCCGCAGAAGAAGCACCGGCUAACUCCGUGCCAGCAGCCGCGGUAAUUC